rnacentral:lncRNA from 1 species
CCCACUGUCUGCAGGAGUGUGUUUUGAGUAUUUUGUGAACUAGAUGAUUAAUGGAAUACUUGUAGUUGGAUUAGUUCAAUAUUAAAAAAACGAAUAGGGCAUAAUGAAGUGUAUUGAGUAAUCUUUUACACAGGCACAUCAUAGCCUCUAUCCUUCCUCCUAACAACAGCACUUGGAUCAAAUCAGUAACACCUAACUGUGUGCACACCCUCAUAUCCUUCAAACCAUCAACAAGUCCUCCCACAGCUCCUUCUACCUAAGAAUCAACCAGCACUAUAAACAUUCUUCCAAAAGGUUCACCAAUAUCAGGUCCAACCCCUCCAUGGGGAGCCAUGCAUCCAAAACAUGGGAGCAGUGAUGGAGUUUUGGUACAAAUUCCUCUUCUGCACUUGGUAAGCGAUUACAGCCUGGGUGUAAUCGCUUACAUAGGCACAUCACAACCUCUUACCUUCCUCCUGACAGCAGCACUUGGAUGAAAUCAGUAACACCCAACUGUGUGCACACCCUCAUAUCCUUCAAACCAUCAACAAGUCCUCCCACAGCUCCUUCUACAAAAGAAUCAACCAGCACUAUGAACAUUCUUCCAAAAAGUUCACCAAUAUGAGGUCCAACCCCUCCACGGGGAGCCAUGCAUCCAUAACCUGGGAACCGUGAUGAAGUUUUGGUACAAAAUCCUUUUUUCCACUUUGUAAGCAAUUACAGCCUUGGUGUAAUCGCUUACACACGCACAUGACAACCUCUUUUCAUCCUCCUAACAACACCAUUGGAUGAAACCACUAACACCCAAUUAUGUGCUCACACUUAUAUCCUUCCAACCACUAACAAGUCCUCCCACAGCUCCUUGUACCCGAGAAUCAACC